rnacentral:rRNA from 1 species
CCUACGGGUGGCAGCAGUGGGGGAUAUUGGACAAUGGGGGGAACCCUGAUCCAGCGACGCCGCGUGAGUGAAGAAGUAUUUCGGUAUGUAAAGCUCUAUCAGCAGGGAAGAAAGAAAUGACGGUACCUGACGAAGAAGCCCCUGCUAACUACGUGCCAGCCGCCGCGGUAAUACGUAGGGGGCAGGCGUGAUUCGGAAUUACUGGGUGUAAGGGGAGCGUCGACGGUUCAGUAAGUCAGGAGUGAAAGGCCGGGGCCCACCCCCGGGACUGCUGUGGAAACUAUUGAGCUUGAGUGCUGGAGAGGUAAGCGGAAUUCCUAGUGUAGCGGUGAAAUGCGUAGAUAUUAGGAGGAACACCAGUGGCGAAGGCGGCUUACUGGACAGUAACUGACGUUGAGGCUCGAAAGCGUGGGGAGCAAACAGGAUUAGAUACCCUUGUAGUC